UCCGCUGCUAAGGGCAGGCUUCAGGCAUAUCGCUUUCCUUAAACCCUCCGUUUCCCGCUAUCGUUUUGCGUGGCGGUCACAAAGCAAAUUGCGGAGGUGUGGCGCCAGCGCCUACACGGUCAGUCGGCUUCUUAUCCCUUUUUGCACGUGCUACUCGUUGCCGUUCUUGUACUGCACUCUUGCACGCACAAGCGGCGUUUUCUCCCUGUCGCUGAGGCCAUGAGGAUAUCUCGACCCCCUGUGCUGGAGAAAGUGACACUGUUGCAUCCAUAACACAAACGACUGUAUAUCCGGGCGCAGUUAGUCGUCUUUUGGCUCGCCAACCCACGCGGUAUUCUUUUUUUUUUCAAAUGCGUAUUCUUUUCCGACGCGCGGAUUCCUUUCAUCCCGCACCGGUUUAUCGUCUCUUUCCAGCAGACGGGUUACAUUCGCUACGGGGCUCCCGAAAGCUAUCUCUCUCGCACACUCAAGCACUUUGUUUUUCUUUCCAUGGAGGCGGCUUGCAGACGACUGUGCCAAGGCGACACCUCCAGUCUGCCGGAUAUCGUGGACUGCAUCGAGGCGGGGCAGCAGGCACCAACGGGUAAGCUAGGCGCCAGGGCCUACACUGCACUUGCAACACUCAUGCUUCGUGAAGGCGUUGUGCUUCGCGAGUCACACGCGUCGAACUCGGGGCCCCCCAGCAGGGAGGCCUUCUACGCACUGCGCAUUCUCGCAGUUCUAGGCGCGCGGCAUGCACAGGAAGGACACGAUGUAAAGAGCGUCCUCCUUUCACUCGGCUUGCAGCAGUGCCGUGAUAUGAUACUUGACGCUUACUUUUUUCUCAGGCGCCGGCAGCGGUAUUAUGUGAUCAUGUUUGUGACGCUUCUUAUCGGCGUUUAUGGGUGUCGUCCACAGGAUUUGCUCCAAAAUGCGACAUCACUGAAUGCUAUGACCGGAUCGACUGAAUUUGGACGGCUGUCUCCACGUCCUGAAGGUCAAAGCGAAUUUGCCGAGUUGAUCCCAGCGCUGCCACACCACACAGCCAGGGUAGCUGCUGCAGCGGCAGGGUGUAGUGGCGGCCACACUUCUCUAACUGCUCCGGCAAAUCAUCAGCCGCAUGCUGCAACGAGCGGCUCAGGAAGUCCACUGCGUUGUGCGGGCGUUCAGAAUCGAGGUUCGCUGCUGGUCUCUAUCCCGGGCACGUCUGCGGACUUACCGCUGCAACAAACACGGUGGUAUCGUGAGCUUCCCCGAAAGCCUAUCAGUGUACCCUACCCCGUCAACCCGCUCUACGUAAGUGCGGCGUUGCGUGAGGGCAGCAGCGAUGCAACGGCCGCGGGAGGGAUGACUUGCGACGACGGUGAUGGUGAUCGAGUAUCCUUGGCUUUUCAGUCGCUUGUGGCGGAGAUACCGAUGACGGCGCAGUUUCCGACGCCUGUGGUGCUUUUUUCCGUGUAUUACGGCGUUGGCUGUGUACCGCGCCUGCCCACGCUCGACGACCUGGCUCGCCUUCAGGUGUGGCGCGAGCGCAAGCAGCAGGAGCAGGCGCCAAGGCCGCCUGCCACCGAUUCCUCAUCACGGACGUUUCUUGCGGAGCAUCGGCACGGAUGGGGCUCCAUCCUGGAAGCGGCGGUGCAGAUACGUGAACCGGACGUCGCAGCAGAAGGCGAUGACCCGCACCUGUUUGCUGUGCGCAAUGAGAUGACAUUCGUGUCGCCCAACGCUAGCACCGUCGCGUAUCACCGCCAGUGCCUGGGCAGCUCUCUGCUGCGACAUUACCUGGAAGAAGGCAAGCUGCUGAGUUGGGGCUCUUCGGCAAAAGGCGCGCUCGGUCAGCAUCGCCAGCGGCGCAGACGAUCCACGCACGGGCUACCGAUAAAUGCUACCGCGAGCAGCGACCCCGCUGGGUCGAAUGCCAAAGUCGGCGGCACCGCUCCAGCUUCCGUGAACGCCAAGCAGCAGUGCUCGAGCUCGCCCGACGCCUCGGCGCUGGGCAGCAAUGAGGGCCAGGCGAGUCUGGUUGGGGGGGGUUCCCCUACAGCAGGCCCACUCGUGUCCGUAUCCAAGGUGCCGCUUGCGCGCGGACUAUCCACGGUGGAUACUCUGUCUGAGACGCGACCCGGGGGACGGAGCGUGGCGGAUCAGCUCCAAGUCCCGCCUUCCGCCGGAUGGCCGAAGGCCACAUCGACGGCUUCUGCUGGAGCUCUUGCGGUCAGCGCCACCUCUCUCGAUGUCACCGGAGCCGCAGGCUAUGUGUACCUACCUUCAUAUGUUCACGCGGCCGCACGUGUGGCACAGGUUGCCUGCGGGCUCGCCGUCACGUAUGUGUUGACCGUUGAUGGCGCGCUGUACAGCUGCGGCCGCGCCGACAACGGUCAGCUCGGCAUUGGUGAGUGCAGCGUGCGCUACUCCGACGCUGGAGUGAGCAAGCUUCAGCGGGUUCUUCUCAAGGACAACGAGCGCGUCACCCGCAUUGCCGCUGGCACCGCGUGCGCCAUGGCGCUCACCGGAGACAGCGCGCUGUACUGCUGGGGCCACAACGUUUACGGACAGUGUCUGACGAUGCCGGAGGCGAGCCACGUGUUGACGCCGGUGCGGCUGAAGGCCGGGGCCUACAAGAUACUUGACGUCUGCUUUGGCCAGCUCUUCGGCGUACUGCUGUUCGACGACGGCGUUAUGGGCACCUGGGGCGUUGCAUCGAUGCUGGGGUGCAACAUGAGCGGCAAGAGGCUAGAGCAGAGUCUCGCACCCGAUCGGUGCAAGUGUUCCAGGCAGAUCGUGCACCUGCAAUUUGCCACACCAACCCCCAUGGCGGCAGUGCGCGCUGGACCGUGGCACGCACUCGCCAUCUCACAGAAAGGCGAGGUGUACACAUGGGGUGUCGGCCGCAAUGGGCGACUUGGGCACGGCACCGACAACUCAGAAGUGAAGCCACGACUUGUCGAGGGGCUACGGUCGUCUUUUGUCGUUGAUGCAAGCUGCUCCAACGCCCACAGCGCCGUCCUCACAAGUACCGGCGCCGUCUACGUUUUUGGCGAGAACUCCGAGGGGCAGCUCGGGCUGCGCGGGCGUGCGCCGCGGCGCUUGCCAACGAUGGUGCCGCUUCCGAUGAAGGCGGUGGCGGUGACGUGUGCGCGAGAGCACACGUGCAUCUUGCUGGCGGACGGUGACGUUGUCGCAUGCGGAUCGUACAGGACGUGCGGCAUCGGCCUCGGCUACGGACGCCAGCUUUGCGCCCCGUCGCGCAUCCUCACCAACUAUGUGACGCUGACGCUGCACUGCGGCCAUCUGCAAAGCAUGGCAGGUGCCGUGCACCGUCGAACCUCCAUGAUGGUGGUGGGCCACUCCACCAUCGAGGAGGUGUCUCGAGUGUCGAGCCUGAUCGUGCGCAGCGGUGUUCGGUGCGCCGGGUCCGGCGCAGGCUUCCUCGUGGUCCUGUCGGAGAACAACUCCCUCGUCGCGAUUGGACGUGGCGAGCGUGGCCAGCUCGGCAUUGGAGACCGCAUGAAGCCGAAUCGUCGUGACGACGUCACCGUCGCUGCGGCCUUCCGCGAGGUGCAUAUCCCGUCCGACGUCGUCAUAGAGCAUGUGCGUUGCGGCCCCGACUUCGUUCUCGCCCUUGACACUAGCGGCGUCGUGUACGGUUGGGGCAGCAAUGACCAUCGAAAGUUGUGCCAGCCGGCGGAUGUCGCGCAAGUCUUUUCGCCAGUGCGCAUCGCCGCCUACGCAAGUGAGCGGAUUGUGCAGAUUGUGUGCGGGGGUACCUUUGUUGUCGCCCUCACUGCCGAUGGAGAGGUGCUCACCCACGGCGAGGCCAUAUACUGCGGCUUGGGCGCGCCGACGUCGCCGACCAAGGCUAAGGGUAGCGAUGUGCCAGUGCCGAUGCGCGUCGCCGGCCUGAGCGACAUUGUAGCGGUGGCAGCAGGGCUCCACCACGCUGUGGCGAUGACGGCGUCGUGCAGCGUCUUCGCCUGGGGCGUCGGCGUUCUCGGCACGGGCAGCACCGCCGACGUCUCCGAUUCAACCCUCUUCACGUCGGUCACUCCGGCGCCGGUGCGGGUGGCGCUCUCACAGACUAUCCGCAGCAUUGGCUGCGGGCCCAACAACUCCUUCGCGAUCAGUGAUGAGGGGGAGCUGUGGGUGUGGGGCAUGAACAGGUUCGGCGAGUGUGGCAUGCCGACCAGUGGCAAAGGCACAGGCAUCGGCACCGGCGGCGGCGCUCUUCAACGCUUGGCGGCUAGACAGAAGGAGGGCAGCGAUGCGGCGGCUGACCACGCCAGCGCCAUCGCUACCCCAACCGCAGUUGCGCGACAGGUGCGAGACGCCGCCUUCACAGGUGAGUUCGGCGUGGUGGUGUUCGAAGACGGUCAGGUAAGCGUCUCGGGUCGGAUCCGGUAUGGUGGUCAGAGGUAUCUCCUGUCCAGCUUCCACAGCAUCCCGCAGCCACCCUUCUCCAUCGACGUCAACGAGCCGGUAUGGCGCCCUCCUACAGAACCGCGCUCCAGCUUCAGUGCAUCCUUGCUCGGCAGCGGCGGUGGAGGCGCAUCUGCUGCUGUGGCGACUGAACCGUGCCAGCAAGGGCACCAAGGGAACGCCGACGCGGGUGGCGCGUCCAAGAACGACAGGGAACCGUCGCCAUCUUCCUAUGUUGGCCUCCCGGCUGCCGGCAAGUCGGCGAUGCUGCCCACAGACGGCCAGCAUCAACACCGUCCCCAGCCGCCGUCGCCGCCGCGGUCAUACGUUUCGGGGAUGGGCGCGGCCGCUGCAUCACCCACUUCUGCGCGCGCCAGCAAGUCACCGCCGCACCGCGCAAGCCCCUCUCUCCCCCUGAUGACCAGAGGUCGCGGUAGCCCAACGAUCCCGUCUUCGCGCGCGGCGACGAUAGUCGGCGAACCGGCGCCCCUCGCCACACCGAGCAAUCCACUUCUGUCCAUUAACUCACCGCGGCUGGGCGCGCGUGAUGCGACGCCGCUAGAUCAUGGGCACGACAUGAUGUCCGCGUACUCCCUCCCGAGCAUCUCAGGACUGAUUCCAAGCGCGCAAGGGAGCAUGCCCCAGGCCGCGACAGCCGUCACACUCGGUACGAUGGACACAGAGGAUGUCCGCAGCGAAACCGACUCGGGCGUGUAUACCGUCGACGAGGAGGCACAGGCGAACCUGGUCUCCUCGAAAGCGUACUUCAAUAGCGACGAGUACUCAGCACCAGACGCCGGGGCGCUUUUCUCCAAUGCAGAAGUUCCCAGCGAGGCGGACGCAUACACCCCAAUGCCACUGCGCCGGACCAGCGAUGGAGCCACACCGCCUCCCGUUCGAGCGAAGACGUCGACAGUGGCGCAGGCUCGCAAGCCGUUGUCUGCGACGUGGGAAACCUUGGACACUCGGGCACCGCCCAUGCUGCCGCUUUCACCGGAUCACUCCGCCGCCCAAGCAGCCGACGUAGGAGUGGCUACUGCCUCGUCUACGGCGACGACCACGAGAGCCGCUGCCAUGGCACAAGCGCGCGCGCAGACGCCGUCGCGGAUACAUCCGGCUCAACGUGGGCCAAAAGUGCGGGCCGCCGCAACCUCCAAACUUCCGAAGCCAUCGUUGUCUUCGCCGCCGCCGCCCUCGGCCGCUGAUGAGCGCAUCUUGGGCAUCCGCUGCUUCGCUGGCUGGGAGCAAAUCUGCAUUGUCAUGGAGAAAUAUCGGCCCUCGGCGGCUGAGGUGGGUAUGGCACAGACGGGCCUUCAAGUGCUCCUGCGCUAGACCGAAAAUGCCGUGCGGGAGGCGUGAACCAGAGAGGGAGAGCAUAAAAGGGUGGGAGGAGUGUGCGCGUGCACAAGGGGCGGGGGAAAGGCGCUGUGUGAGCUUGUGUUGACCUCUCUGUGUGUAAAGAAUCACGUGUACGAUGCGGUCGCCCCUUCACCGCCCCGCCCGCCUUCUUUUUUUUUGAGUUUAAUUUUUUUUUCGCGGCUGUGCGUAUGCGCUCCGCACGGAAUGCCAGGCAGUCUGUCUAUGGUGCGUUCGUGCUUGUGUGUGUGUGCAUAUGUGGCAGAUAAAGGGCCGCCACCUUACCGUGCCACUGUACUGCCCUCCUCUGGCUCCUUCCCGGUGUCCCUUCUCGUCUUUCUCUGUACAUUCGUCCCCUCAGUCGCAUGCAGACUGACGCAGCAGAGGCGAGGGAGGCUCAGAGGGGAGUGGGGGGGGAGAUCUUCACCCGUGAGCGGCUUUCCGAACAAGGAAAGAGAUCACGCGGCAGGAAGCAGAGACGGCAACAGAGCGCGUGCGAGAGGCAUGCAUUGGGAGAAACGAAGCGUACGCCACCACGAGUAGGCUUGACAUUCGCGUGUGGGACUGCGUUGCCAUCGAGACGCAGCGUGCCUUUCCCCCUCGCUGAUCAGAGCGCGUCGCUUCCACCUCCUUUCCUCCAAUUCGUUUGAAACCAAUCGCUUAUGUGCGCAUCAGUGUGUGUGUGUGUGUGUGUGCGUGUAUGUCAUGGUCGAUGCGCCGC
rnacentral:misc_RNA from 1 species